rnacentral:rRNA from 1 species
AUGAACGCUGGCGGCGUGCCUAAUACAUGCAAGUCGAACGAGUUCUGAUUAUUGAAAGGUGCUUGCAUCUUGAUUUAAUUUUGAACGAGUGGCGGACGGGUGAGUAACACGUGGGUAACCUGCCCUUAAGUGGGGGAUAACAUUUGGAAACAGAUGCUAAUACCGCAUAAAUCCAAGAACCGCAUGGUUCUUGGCUGAAAGAUGGCGUAAGCUAUCGCUUUUGGAUGGACCCGCGGCGUAUUAGCUAGUUGGUGAGGUAACGGCUCACCAAGGCAAUGAUACGUAGCCGAACUGAGAGGUUGAUCGGCCACAUUGGGACUGAGACACGGCCCAAACUCCUACGGGAGGCAGCAGUAGGGAAUCUUCCACAAUGGACGCAAGUCUGAUGGAGCAACGCCGCGUGAGUGAAGAAGGCUUUCGGGUCGUAAAACUCUGUUGUUGGAGAAGAAUGGUCGGCAGAGUAACUGUUGUCGGCGUGACGGUAUCCAACCAGAAAGCCACGGCUAACUACGUGCCAGCAGCCGCGGUAAUACGUAGGUGGCAAGCGUUAUCCGGAUUUAUUGGGCGUAAAGCGAGCGCAGGCGGUUUUUUAAGUCUGAUGUGAAAGCCCUCGGCUUAACCGAGGAAGUGCAUCGGAAACUGGGAAACUUGAGUGCAGAAGAGGACAGUGGAACUCCAUGUGUAGCGGUGAAAUGCGUAGAUAUAUGGAAGAACACCAGUGGCGAAGGCGGCUGUCUGGUCUGUAACUGACGCUGAGGCUCGAAAGCAUGGGUAGCGAACAGGAUUAGAUACCCUGGUAGUCCAUGCCGUAAACGAUGAAUGCUAGGUGUUGGAGGGUUUCCGCCCUUCAGUGCCGCAGCUAACGCAUUAAGCAUUCCGCCUGGGGAGUACGACCGCAAGGUUGAAACUCAAAGGAAUUGACGGGGGCCCGCACAAGCGGUGGAGCAUGUGGUUUAAUUCGAAGCAACGCGAAGAACCUUACCAGGUCUUGACAUCCGAUGCAUAGCUUAGAGAUAAGUGAAGUCCUUCGGGACAUCGAGACAGGUGGUGCAUGGUUGUCGUCAGCUCGUGUCGUGAGAUGUUGGGUUAAGUCCCGCAACGAGCGCAACCCUUAUGACUAGUUGCCAGCAUUUAGUUGGGCACUCUAGUAAGACUGCCGGUGACAAACCGGAGGAAGGUGGGGAUGACGUCAAAUCAUCAUGCCCCUUAUGACCUGGGCUACACACGUGCUACAAUGGAUGGUACAACGAGUUGCGAGACCGCGAGGUCAAGCUAAUCUCUUAAAGCCAUUCUCAGUUCGGACUGUAGGCUGCAACUCGCCUACACGAAGUCGGAAUCGCUAGUAAUCGCGGAUCAGCACGCCGCGGUGAAUACGUUCCCGGGCCUUGUACACACCGCCCGUCACACCAUGAGAGUUUGUAACACCCGAAGCCGGUGGCGUAACCCUUUUAGGGAGCGAGCCGUCUAAGGUGGGACAAAUGAUUAGGGUG